UACGUAGGGCGCAAGCGUUAAUCGGAAUUACUGGGCGUAAAGCGUGCGUAGGCGGUUCGUUGUGUCUGUGGUGAAAGCCCCGGGCUUAACCUGGGAAUGGCCAUGGAAACUGGCGAGCUGGAGUGUGGCAGAGGGGGGUGGAAUUCCGCGUGUAGCAGUGAAAUGCGUAGAGAUGCGGAGGAACACCGAUGGCGAAGGCAGCCCCCUGGGCUAACACUGACGCUGGAGGCACGAAAGCGUGGGGAGCAAACAGG
rnacentral:rRNA from 1 species